UGACCUCAAAUCAGGUAGGACUACCCGCUGAACUUAAGCAUAUCAAUAAGCGGAGGAAAAGAAACUAACAAGGAUUCCCCUAGUAACUGCGAGUGAAGCGGGAAAAGCUCAAAUUUAAAAUCUGGCGGUCCUUGUGGCUGUCCGAGUUGUAAUCUAGAGAAGUGCUAUCCGCGCUGGACCGUGUACAAGUCUCCUGGAACGGAGCGUCAUAGAGGGUGAGAAUCCCGUCUUUGACACGGACUACCAGGGCUUUGUGAUGUGCUCUCAAAGAGUCGAGUUGUUUGGGAAUGCAGCUCUAAAUGGGUGGUAAAUUCCAUCUAAAGCUAAAUAUUGGCGAGAGACCGAUAGCGAACAAGUACCGUGAGGGAAAGAUGAAAAGAACUUUGGAAAGAGAGUUAAACAGUACGUGAAAUUGUUGAAAGGGAAACGCUUGAAGUCAGUCGCGUUGGCCGGGGAUCAACCUUGCUCUUUUGCUUGGCGUACUUUCCGGUCGACGGGUCAGCAUCAAUUUUGACCGGUGGAUAAAGGUCAGGGGAAUGUGGCAUCUUCGGAUGUGUUAUAGCCCUUGGUCGCAUACAUCGAUUGGGAUUGAGGAACUCAGCACGCCGCAAGGCCGGGUCUUUGACCACGUACGUGCUAGGAUG
rnacentral:rRNA from 1 species